UUUAACUGCAACUAUAAGUUUCUGCGCCCAACUUUAAUCGUCUAUCUUAUUUAUUUAUUUUUAUAAUUAUGAGUUGAUAAAACAUGAAUAAUACUUUAUACGUAACUUAUGUUUUUAAAUUUUUUCAAAUAAGACGGACAGUUAAAGUUGUGCACGGAAAAUUAUGGCUGCAAUUAAA
rfam:Oryza glumipatula chromosome 8, whole genome shotgun sequence.